GGGGGCGUAACUCAUAUGAUAGAGCGCUCGCUUCGCAUGCGAGAUGAACAUGGUUCAAUUCUCUGCACCUCCA
rnacentral:tRNA from 1 species